rnacentral:rRNA from 1 species
GCGACCAUGGCCAAGGAGAAGACGGCGGCGUUGGAGCGUGCCAAGAAGGCGUCGGCAUCGGAGAAGGCGAAGGGGAGAUCCACCAGCCGCCGAGGAUCCUCGUCCAGAUCCCGCCUGCCGAAAGGCUGGGUCCAGGGCGACUGGAUCCAGUCGACCAUCACGGAGAAGGACCUCCUCGACAUGGCCGACGAGGGUUUGAUCCCUCACGGAGCCGCGAGGUUGCCGGGGAAGGAGUGGCAGCCACAGCCAGAAGAGGGUGAGUGUGUGCUCCUGGCCACUCAUGUCGAUCGGGGGUUUUCCUUGCCACCGAGCAUUUUCUUCCGGGGUUUCCUGAAUUUCUUUGGGGCGCAGCUCCACCACUUUACCCCAAACUCCAUUGCCUACCUUGCUGCGUUCGUGUCCGUGUGCGAGGGUUUCUUGGGCUGUCGACCGCACUGGGGUCUGUUCAAACGUAUCUUCACGUGUCGCUCUCAGACCGUGAAGAAGGCGAGCCCAGGUGACGAGAAGACCCGAGUCGUCCAAAUGUGUGGGGGCCUGGGGAUUCAGGUGAGGAACAAU